UGGGGAAUUUUGGACAAUGGGCGCAAGCCUGAUCCAGCAAUGCCGCGUGCAGGAUGAAGGUCUUCGGAUCGUAAAGCUCUUUCGGCUGGGACGAAAACGGUCUGGCGAAUAACCAGGCCCUUGACGGUACCGGAAGAAGAAGCACCGGCUAACUCUGUGCCAGCAGCCGCGGUAAUACAGAGGGUGCAAGCGUUGUUCGGAAUUAUUGGGCGUAAAGCGCGUGUAGGCUGCGACGUAUGUCGGGUGUGAAAGCCCUCGGCUCAACUGAGGAAGUGCGCCCGAAACUACGUUGCUCGAGUGCUGGGGAGGGUAGCGGAAUUCCCGGUGUAGAGGUGAAAUUCGUAGAUAUCGGGAGGAACACCAGUGGCGAAGGCGGCUACCUGGACUGAUACUGACACUGAGGUGCGAAAGCGUGGGGAGCAAACA
rnacentral:rRNA from 1 species